UACAGAGGGUGCAAGCGUUGUUCGGAAUUAUUGGGCGUAAAGCGCGUGUAGGCGGCAGUGCAAGUCGGGUGUGAAAGCCCUCAGCUCAACUGAGGAAGUGCGCCCGAAACUGCAUUGCUUGAGUACCGGAGAGGAUGGUGGAAUUCCCGAAGUAGAGGUGAAAUUCGUAGAUAUCGGGAGGAACACCGGUGGCGAAGGCGACCAUCUGGACGGAUACUGACGCUGAGACGCGAAAGCGUGGGUAGCAAACGAGGG
rnacentral:rRNA from 1 species